CUUAACACAUGCAAGUCGAGGGGCAGCACAGGUAGCAAUACCGGGUGGCGACCGGCGCACGGGUGAGUAACGCGUAUGCAACUUGCCUAUCAGAGGGGGAUAACCCGGCGAAAGUCGGACUAAUACCGCAUGAAGCAGGGAUCCCGCAUGGGAAUAUUUGCUAAAGAUUCAUCGCUGAUAGAUAGGCAUGCGUUCCAUUAGGCAGUUGGCGGGGUAACGGCCCACCAAACCGACGAUGGAUAGGGGUUCUGAGAGGAAGGUCCCCCACAUUGGUACUGAGACACGGACCAAACUCCUACGGGAGGCAGCAGUGAGGAAUAUUGGUCAAUGGCCGAGAGGCUGAACCAGCCAAGUCGCGUGAGGGAUGAAGGUUCUAUGGAUCGUAAACCUCUUUUAUAAGGGAAUAAAGUGCGGGACGUGUCCCGUUUUGUAUGUACCUUAUGAAUAAGGAUCGGCUAACUCCGUGCCAGCAGUCGCGGUAAUACGGAGGAUCCGAGCGUUAUCCGGAUUUAUUGGGUUUAAAGGGUGCGUAGGCGGCCUUUUAAGUCAGCGGUGAAAGUCUGUGGCUCAACCAUAGAAUUGCCGUUGAAACUGGGGGGCUUGAGUAUGUUUGAGGCAGGCGGAAUGCGUGGUGUAGCGGUGAAAUGCAUAGAUAUCACGCAGAACCCCGAUUGCGAAGGCAGCCUGCCAAGCCAUGACUGACGCUGAUGCACGAAAGCGUGGGGAUCAAACAGGAUUAGAUACCCUGGUAGUCCACGCAGUAAACGAUGAUCACUAGCUGUUUGCGAUACACUGUAAGCGGCACAGCGAAAGCGUUAAGUGAUCCACCUGGGGAGUACGCCGGCAACGGUGAAACUCAAAGGAAUUGACGGGGGCCCGCACAAGCGGAGGAACAUGUGGUUUAAUUCGAUGAUACGCGAGGAACCUUACCCGGGUUUGAACGCAUUCGGACCGAGGUGGAAACACCUUUUCUAGCAAUAGCCGUUUGCGAGGUGCUGCAUGGUUGUCGUCAGCUCGUGCCGUGAGGUGUCGGCUUAAGUGCCAUAACGAGCGCAACCCUUGCCACUAGUUACUAACAGGUAAAGCUGAGGACUCUGGUGGGACUGCCAGCGUAAGCUGCGAGGAAGGCGGGGAUGACGUCAAAUCAGCACGGCCCUUACAUCCGGGGCGACACACGUGUUACAAUGGCGUGGACAAAGGGAAGCCACCUGGCGACAGGGAGCGAAUCCCCAAACCACGUCUCAGUUCGGAUCGGAGUCUGCAACCCGACUCCGUGAAGCUGGAUUCGCUAGUAAUCGCGCAUCAGCCAUGGCGCGGUGAAUACGUUCCCGGGCCUUGUACACACCGCCCGUCAAGCCAUGGGAGCCGGGGGUACCUGAAGUCCGUAACCGCGAGGAUCGGCCUAGGGUAAAACUGGUGACUGGGGCUAAAU
rnacentral:rRNA from 1 species